CCUACGGUGGGCAGCAGUGGGGAAUAUUGGACAAUGGGCGAAAGCCUGAUCCAGCCAUGCCGCGUGUGUGAAGAAGGCCUUCGGGUUGUAAAGCACUUUCAGUGGGGAAGAAAGCCUUGGGGCUAAUACCCUCGAGGAAGGACAUCACCCACAGAAGAAGCACCGGCUAACUCCGUGCCAGCAGCCGCGGUAAUACGGAGGGUGCGAGCGUUAAUCGGAAUUACUGGGCGUAAAGCGCGCGUAGGCGGUCUGAUAAGCCGGUUGUGAAAGCCCCGGGCUCAACCUGGGAACGGCAUCCGGAACUGUCAGGCUAGAGUGCAGGAGAGGAAGGUAGAAUUCCCGGUGUAGCGGUGAAAUGCGUAGAGAUCGGGAGGAAUACCAGUGGCGAAGGCGACCUUCUGGACUGACACUGACGCUGGGGUGCGAAAGCGUGGGUAGCAAACAGGAUUAGAUACCCCGGUAGUC
rnacentral:rRNA from 1 species